GUCUUCCCCAAACACACAACUUUCCACUUCUGGUUACUGCCUUCAUUAAACAACUGCCCCCCUCCCUCCUCCCUCAUCUUUUCUCUCUCUCUUUCUUUCUUGUUUUUAUAUUAAUAAUCUUUUUUACUUUUCCUCUUUAUCCUUUGUAUGAUUCUCUUCAGUCUGAUUUAAAAAAGUUUCAGUUUGUUCCUUUUUUUCCUCAUUAUACAGUCUUGUUAGUCACAUCUGUGAAAAUUAAAAAAAUAUCUUAACUAAAAUUCCAUAAAAAAAAACUCUUUUUUUUUGUUUUUGAUUUUGUGGAAUCCCAAAAGGUGCCAAGCUUUUUUUUAUAAUUUUAAGUAUCUCAUAUCUUCUUCCCUUACUGUUUUAGCAAGAAAAAAUGUUACCGGCGAAGCCGACCCUGUUCUUUGAUUAGUGUGUGUGAGAUUUGUCUUUUAUCCAAAUUAAGCUUUUUUUAAAAAAGUAUAUUAUUAUAAUAUAUGCAAAUUGCCCAUACUCUCAGACAUGGGCAUACGUAUUUGGGUGGUCCCAUUCAUCGUCGUCGUCUGUGUUAGGGAGCACAAAUAAUAGAGAGUAGAGAGACGUAGCAGCAGACCAGAGAGAGAGAGAAGAGGCGGUGAUCGAGGUCUUGAUUUACAAUAACCCAUAAAGAGCUUCUCAAGAGUGUCACUAGACAAGAUCUGAUCAUGGUUUCUUGAAUCUUCUCUCUUCUUCUUCUUCUCUCUUCUUUCUUAAAGAUUUUUGUAGUCUGUGAUCAUUUAUGAGAAGAAGCAUCCAAUUAAUCCCAUCCUCUUAGCUCUCUUCACUUUUACGAUUGCUUUCGCUGUGGGACUUUAUUACUCCUUUCCGAAAGG